rnacentral:rRNA from 1 species
CACUCCUGCGGGAGGCAGCAGUGGGGAAUAUUGGACAAUGGGCGCAAGCCUGAUCCAGCCAUGCCGCGUGAGUGAUGAAGGCCCUAGGGUUGUAAAGCUCUUUCACCGGUGAAGAUAAUGACGGUAACCGGAGAAGAAGCCCCGGCUAACUUCGUGCCAGCAGCCGCGGUAAUACGAAGGGGGCUAGCGUUGUUCGGAUUUACUGGGCGUAAAGCGCACGUAGGCGGACUAUUAAGUCAGGGGUGAAAUCCCGGGGCUCAACCCCGGAACUGCCUUUGAUACUGGUAGUCUUGAGUUCGAGAGAGGUGAGUGGAAUUCCGAGUGUAGAGGUGAAAUUCGUAGAUAUUCGGAGGAACACCAGUGGCGAAGACGGCUCACUGGCUCGAUACUGACGCUGAGGUGCGAAAGCGUGGGGAGCAAACAGGAUUAGAAACCCUGGUAGUCCCAUGA